UACGUAGGCAGCGAGCGUUGUUCGGAGUUACUGGGCGUAAAGGGUGUGUAGGCGGUUGCUUAAGUUUGGUGUGAAAUCUCCCGGCUCAACCGGGAGGGUGCGCCGAAUACUGAGUGACUAGAGUGCGGGAGAGGAAAGUGGAAUUCCUGGUGUAGCGUGAAAUGCGUAGAUAUCAGGAGGAACACCGGUGGUGUAGACGGCUUUCUGGACCGUAACUGACGCUGAGACACGAAAGCGUGGGUAGCAAACAGG
rnacentral:rRNA from 1 species